rnacentral:rRNA from 1 species
GAAAUGACUCUCGGCAACGGAUAUCUAGGCUCUCGUUACGAUGAAGAACGUAGCGAAAUGCGAUACUUAGUGUGAAUUGCAGAAUCCCGUGAAUCAUCAAGUCUUUGAACGCGAUUUGCGCCCGAGGCCUUGGCUGAGGGCACGUUUGUCUGGGCGUCGCAU